rnacentral:rRNA from 1 species
UACGUAGGGUGCGAGCGUUAAUCGGAAUUACUGGGCGUAAAGCGUGCGCAGGCGGUUCUCCAAGUCCGUUGUGAAAGCCCCGGGCUCAACCUGGGAAUGGCCGUUGAAACUGGCGAACUGGAGUGUGGCAGAGGGGGGUGGAAUUCCGCGUGUAGCAGUGAAAUGCGUAGAGAUGCGGAGGAACACCGAUGGCGAAGGCAGCCCCCUGGGCUGACACUGACGCUCAGGCACGAAAGCGUGGGGAGCAAACAGG